rnacentral:rRNA from 1 species
AUGACCGCUAGCGGAGGCUUAACAAUGCAAGCCGAGCGGAUUUGUUGGUUAGCUUGCUAACUGAUAAUAGACGGCGUACGGGUGCGGAACAUGUGUGCAAUCUGCCCUUAUCAAGGGGAUAGCCCAGAGAAAUCUGGAUUAAUACCCUAUAACAUAUGGGAUGGCAUCAUUUCAUAUUAAAAGCUACGGCGGAUAAGGAUGAGCACGCACAAGAUUAGCUAGUUGGUAAGGUAACGGCUUACCAAGGCGACGAUCUUUAGGGGGCCUGAGAGGGUGAUCCCCCACACUGGGACUGAGACACGGCCCAGACUCCUACGGGAGGCAGCAGUGAGGAAUAUUGGACAAUGGGUGGAAGCCUGAUCCAGCCAUCCCGCGUGCAGGACGACUGCCCUAUGGGUUGUAAACUGCUUUUAUAUAGGGAUAAACCUACUCUCGUAGAGUAGCAAGGU